rnacentral:rRNA from 1 species
AGUCGAACGAAACACCUUAUUUGAUUUUCUUCGGAACUGAAGAUUUGGUGAUUGAGUGGCGGACGGGUGAGUAACGCGUGGGUAACCUACCCUGUACAGGGGGAUAACAGUCAGAAAUGACUGCUAAUACCGCAUAAGACCACAGCACCGCAUGGUGCAGGGGUAAAAACUCCGGUGGUACAGGAUGGACCCGCGUCUGAUUAGCUGGUUGGUGAGGUAACGGCUCACCAAGGCGACGAUCAGUAGCCGGCUUGAGAGAGUGAACGGCCACAUUGGGACUGAGACACGGCCCAAACUCCUACGGGAGGCAGCAGUGGGGAAUAUUGCACAAUGGGGGAAACCCUGAUGCAGCGACGCCGCGUGAGUGAAGAAGUAUCUCGGUAUGUAAAGCUCUAUCAGCAGGGAAGAAAAUGACGGUACCUGACUAAGAAGCCCCGGCUAACUACGUGCCAGCAGCCGCGGUAAUACGUAGGGGGCAAGCGUUAUCCGGAAUUACUGGGUGUAAAGGGUGCGUAGGUGGUAUGGCAAGUCAGAAGUGAAAACCCAGGGCUUAACUCUGGGACUGCUUUUGAAACUGUCAGACUGGAGUGCAGGAGAGGUAAGCGGAAUUCCUAGUGUAGCGGUGAAAUGCGUAGAUAUUAGGAGGAACAUCAGUGGCGAAGGCGGCUUACUGGACUGAAACUGACACU